rnacentral:rRNA from 1 species
CACGUGAGUAACCUGCCCUUGACUUCGGGAUAACUCCGGGAAACCGGGGCUAAUACCGGAUAUGAGCCGCCUUCGCAUGGGGGUGGUUGGAAAGUUUUUCGGUCAGGGAUGGGCUCGCGGCCUAUCAGCUUGUUGGUGGGGUGAUGGCCUACCAAGGCGACGACGGGUAGCCGGCCUGAGAGGGCGACCGGCCACACUGGGACUGAGACACGGCCCAGACUCCUACGGGAGGCAGCAGUGGGGAAUAUUGCACAAUGGGCGAAAGCCUGAUGCAGCGACGCCGCGUGAGGGAUGAAGGCCUUCGGGUUGUAAACCUCUUUCAGCAGGGAAGAAGCGCAAGUGACGGUACCUGCAGAAGAAGCGCCGGCUAACUACGUGCCAGCAGCCGCGGUAAUACGUAGGGCGCAAGCGUUGUCCGGAAUUAUUGGGCGUAAAGAGCUCGUAGGCGGUUUGUCGCGUCUGGUGUGAAAACUCGAGGCUCAACCUCGAGCUUGCAUCGGGUACGGGCAGACUAGAGUGCGGUAGGGGAGACUGGAAUUCCUGGUGUAGCGGUGGAAUGCGCAGAUAUCAGGAGGAACACCGAUGGCGAAGGCAGGUCUCUGGGCCGCAACUGACGCUGAGGAGCGAAAGCAUGGGGAGCGAACAGGAUUAGAUACCCUGGUAGUCCAUGCCGUAAACGUUGGGCACUAGGUGUGGGGCUCAUUCCACGAGUUCCGUGCCGCAGCAAACGCAUUAAGUGCCCCGCCUGGGGAGUACGGCCGCAAGGCUAAAACUCAAAGGAAUUGACGGGGGCCCGCACAAGCGGCGGAGCAUGCGGAUUAAUUCGAUGCAACGCGAAGAACCUUACCAAGGCUUGACAUGCACGAGAAGCCACCAGAGAUGGUGGUCUCUUUGGACACUCGUGCACAGGUGGUGCAUGGUUGUCGUCAGCUCGUGUCGUGAGAUGUUGGGUUAAGUCCCGCAACGAGCGCAACCCUCGUCCCAUGUUGCCAGCGGGUUAUGCCGGGGACUCAUGGGAGACUGCCGGGGUCAACUCGGAGGAAGGUGGGGAUGACGUCAAAUCAUCAUGCCCCUUAUGUCUUGGGCUUCACGCAUGCUACAAUGGCCGGUACAAAGGGCUGCGAUACCGUAAGGUGGAGCGAAUCCCAAAAAGCCGGUCUCAGUUCGGAUUGGGGUCUGCAACUCGACCCCAUGAAGUCGGAGUCGCUAGUAAUCGCAGAUCAGCAACGCUGCGGUGAAU